rnacentral:rRNA from 1 species
AUGUCCUCCAUCACGAUCUCGAAUGAAACUAUCCAUGGAAUCGUGCGCCGUGUGAAACGUAGAUCAUCGCCGUUCUUAACCGAGACUCAGGUUCAGCUCUGUCUUGGAACCACCGGGUUAGGAGUAAAGCAUCCUAAGGUUGGCGCAUCUCGUUGGGCGUGGAGAAGCAUUGGGAACCCCAAUAUCUUUCUUCGGAGCAGUUUCUUUUCCCGUCCCCUUGCCCCGGCAUAG